CCUAAGGCUGGUGCAGCAUCUGCAGAAUGGAGCUGAAGAAGCCAAGGGAGAAGCUGCCUGCGAUGAGCUUCUCGGUGUCCUUCAGCCAUCCGACAACUCGCGGGUCCUGCCGGGAGCUACCGUGGAGCCUGACGCACAGCCCAGCCAGGCUUGCUCUGAUAUCUGUGCUGCGCCAGAGACCUCACCAGGGACCCAGCACCUUCCUGGGUCCGGUGAGACGGAACCGGCUGCAGACAGCCAGCACCAGCUCUGCUCCUCGCUCCCGACACCCUCCCCGGCCAGCACGGACCUGCGCUCCGCCGCUGUCCUCGCCAGGAAAGAGGAGAUUGAGCUGUCGUACCAGCAGUUCAGCCUGACCAUCGCGGUGGUGGCCACAAUGCUGCUGCAGAAGGAGCCCUCCAUGGAGGCGGCGCUGGGGCUGGCGCUGAGAGCCAACCUGCGCCAGGGCCGGAUCCAUCACCUCCAGGAGCUGGAGGAUUUCAUCGACAGCUACGACUCGGCCACCCUCAGCCGCUGAGGGGGGGGACGGGGUGCAGACGGACACCCCCUCUCACCACCCGGGGUUAGAGGGGGGUGAUGGGGGGGCUGUGCCCAUGCAGCGGGGUGCUCGUGAUGGGGCCGAGCCCUCGGGUCAAGGCGAUACGGACACGUUGGCACAGUCUCACCAUCUCUCUUGGGAAUGGAGGAGGAGGGGGCUGCUUAGUUUUAGCCCUGCCCAGACCUGUUUGUGCAGCAAAAGGGGGAGCUGGUUUUACUGGAGGGCGAUGGGAGGGACAGCGGAUGUGGGGAGCUCCCCAGUUCCUUGCUCCAUUCCUGGUUCACAGGGAUGUACCUCAAAACCCUGGGGUUUGCUCUUGGUUUUAAAUCUAAAAAUAAACCAGCUGUGAUAUAUGCACCCCUCGCUCUGCUGUUGAUCUGGUC
rnacentral:lncRNA from 1 species